rnacentral:rRNA from 1 species
AGUGAACGCUGGCGGUAGGCCUAACACAUGCAAGUCGAACGGCAGCACAGUAAGAGCUUGCUCUUACGGGUGGCGAGUGGCGGACGGGUGAGGAAUACAUCGGAAUCUACUUUUUCGUGGGGGAUAACGUAGGGAAACUUACGCUAAUACCGCAUACGACCUACGGGUGAAAGCAGGGGAUCUUCGGACCUUGCGCGAUUGAAUGAGCCGAUGUCGGAUUAGCUAGUUGGCGGGGUAAAGGCCCACCAAGGCGACGAUCCGUAGCUGGUCUGAGAGGAUGAUCAGCCACACUGGAACUGAGACACGGUCCAGACUCCUACGGGAGGCAGCAGUGGGGAAUAUUGGACAAAGGGCGCAAGCCUGAUCCAGCCAUACCGCGUGGGUGAAGAAGGCCUUCGGGUUGUAAAGCCCUUUUGUUGGGAAAGAAAAGCAGCAGGUUAAUACCCCGCUGUUCUGACGGUACCCAAAGAAUAAGCACCGGCUAACUUGGUG